ACAUGUGAGGGUAAUCUGGCUGAGACAUCUGUCAUCUUAUUGAUCAUCAAGAUGGACUCUGCUGAUCCACCCUGCUUGGCCAGGGUCCAACUUUCCCCUCACUGCCCUACCUACAUUCCUCCUGAAGAGGACAACCUCUAUCAGAAGACUGCACUCUGGUCAGAGUGCACAUGUCUCUGUACUCCUCUGCUGGAAGCUCCAAACAAGCUCUUGUUUGUUUGAAACAAGAUCUGUCUAUGUAGGCCUGGACAUCCUGGAAAUUUGCUA
rnacentral:snRNA from 1 species